rnacentral:rRNA from 1 species
UACGGAGGGGGCAAGCGUUAAUCGGAUUUACUGGGCGUAAAGGGUCCGUAGGCGGUUGUGUAAGUCUGAUGUGAAAUCUUCGCCGCUUAACGGGAAGAGGUCAUUGGAAACUGCGCAACUUGAGUGUGGUAGAGGCCGGCGGAAUUCCGGGUGUAGCGGUGGAAUGUUUAGAUAUCCGGAAGAACACCAGUGGCGAAGGCGGCCGGCUGGGCCACUACUGACGCUGAGGGACGAAAGCGUGGGGAGCGAACAGG